UCAGCCGCCGCGGUAAUACCAGCUCCUCGAGUGGUCAGGGCGUUUAUUGGGCCUAAAGCAUCCGUAGCCUGCUUGGUAGGUCUCCUGUUAAAUCCAACGGCUCAACCGUUGGUCUGCAGGAGAUACCGCUAGGCUAGGAGGCGGGAGAGGCGGACGGUACUCCGAGGGUAGGGGUAAAAUCCUUUGAUCCCCGGAAGACCACCAGUGGCGAAGGCGGUCCGCCAGAACGCGCUCGACGGUGAGGGAUGAAAGCUGGGGGAGCGAACCGGAUUAGAUACCCGGGUAGUCCCAGCUGUAAACGAUGCGAGCUAGGUGACACGACGCCUUCGGGGCAUCGUGGUGCCGCAGGGAAGCCGUUAAGCUCGCCGCCUGGGGAGUACGGACGC
rnacentral:rRNA from 1 species